rnacentral:piRNA from 1 species
UCCCACCUGUUGAAUACAUAGGGAUGGCUC